rnacentral:rRNA from 1 species
UACGGGGGGGUGCGAGCGUUGUCCGGAAUCACUGGGCGUAAAGGGCGCGUAGGUGGUUUGAUAAGGGUGUGGUGAAAGUCCGGAGCUCAACUCCGGAUCUGCCGUGCCGACUGUCAAAACUCGAGGGCUGUAGAGGCAGACGGAAUUCCGGGUGUAGCGGUGGAAUGCGUAGAGAUCCGGAGGAAGACCGGUGGCGAAGGCGGUCUGCUGGGCAGUUUCUGACACUGAGGCGCGAAAGCGUGGGUAGCAAACAGG